UACGAAGGGGGCUAGCGUUGUUCGGAAUUACUGGGCGUAAAGCGCACGUAGGCGGAUAUUUAAGUCAGGGGUGAAAUCCCAGAGCUCAACUCUGGAACUGCCUUUGAUACUGGGUAUCUUGAGUAUGGAAGAGGUAAGUGGAAUUGCGAGUGUAGAGGUGAAAUUCGUAGAUAUUCGCAGGAACACCAGUGGCGAAGGCGGCUUACUGGUCCAUAACUGACGCUGAGGUGCGAAAGCGUGGGGAGCAACAGGGAUAAGAUAUCCCCAGU
rnacentral:rRNA from 1 species